AUUGAACGCUGGCGGCAUGCUUUACACAUGCAAGUCGAACGGUAACAGGGGCUUCGGCCCGCUGACGAGUGGCGAACGGGUGAGUAAUGUAUCGGAACGUGCCCAGUAGUGGGGGAUAACUACUCGAAAGAGUAGCUAAUACCGCAUGAGAACUGAGGUUGAAAGCGGGGGAUCUUCGGACCUCGCGCUACUGGAGCGGCUGAUAUCAGAUUAGGUAGUUGGUGAGGUAAAGGCUUACCAAGCCUGCGAUCUGUAGCUGGUCUGAGAGGACGACCAGCCACACUGGGACUGAGACACGGCCCAGACUCCUACGGGAGGCAGCAGUGGGGAAUUUUGGACAAUGGGCGCAAGCCUGAUCCAGCAAUGCCGCGUGCAGGACGAAGGCCUUCGGGUUGUAAACUGCUUUUGUACAGAACGAAAUGUCUCUGGCUAAUACCUGGGGAAGAUGACGGUACUGUAAGAAUAAGCACCGGCUAACUACGUG
rnacentral:rRNA from 1 species